rnacentral:rRNA from 1 species
CUAAGCCUACGGGGGGCAGCAGUAGGGAAUCUUCCACAAUGGACGAAAGUCUGAUGGAGCAACGCCGCGUGAGUGAAGAAGGGUUUCGGCUCGUAAAGCUCUGUUGGUAGGGAAGAAAGAUAGAGGUAGUAACUGGCCUUUAUUUGACGGUAAUUACUUAGAAAGUCACGGCUAACUACGUGCCAGCAGCCGCGGUAAUACGUAGGUGGCAAGCGUUGUCCGGGUUUAUUGGGCGUAAAGCGAGUGCAGGCGGUUCAAUAAGUCUG